CCCGCUGAACUUAAGCAUAUCAAUAAGCGGAGGAAAAGAAACUAACAAGGAUUCCCCUAGUAACUGCGAGUGAAGAGGGAAAAGCUCAAAUUUGAAAUCUGGCGGUCUUUGGCUGUCCGAGUUGUAAUUUAGAGAAGUGUUACCCGAGCUAUACCGUGUAUAAGUCUCCUGGAAUGGAGCGUCAUAGAGGGUGAGAAUCCCGUCUUUGACACGGAUAAUAGUUCAUUGUGGUGCGCUCUCAAAGAGUCGAGUUGUUUGGGAAUGCAGCUCUAAAUGGGUGGUAAAUUCCAUCUAAAGCUAAAUAUUGGGGAGAGACCGAUAGCGAACAAGUACCGUGAGGGAAAGAUGAAAAGAACUUUGGAAAGAGAGUUAAACAGUACGUGAAAUUGCUGAAAGGGAAACGCUUGAAGUCAGUCGCGUUUGCUUGAGAUCAGCCUUGCUUGAUUGCUUGGUGUAUUCUCUCGCACACGGGUCAGCAUCAAUUUGGGUUGCCGGAUAAAAGCAGAGGGAAAGUGGCACCUUUCGGGGUGUGUUAUAGUCCUUUGUUGUAUACGGUGACUCGGAUUGAGGAACUCAGCACGACCUUCGGGUUUGGGGCUUCGGCCUACAAUUUCGUGCUUAGGAUGCUGGCAUAAUGGCUUUAAGCGACCCGUCUUGAAACACGG
rnacentral:rRNA from 1 species